GAUGAACGCUGGCGGCGUGCUUAACACAUGCAAGUCGAACGGAAAGGCCAGUGCUUGCACUGGUACUCGAGUGGCGAACGGGUGAGUAACACGUGGGUGAUCUGCCCUGCACUUCGGGAUAAGCCUGGGAAACUGGGUCUAAUACCGGAUAGGACAAUGGUUUGGAUGCCGUUGUGGAAAGUUUUUUCGGUGUGGGAUGAGCUCGCGGCCUAUCAGCUUGUUGGUGGGGUAAUGGCCUACCAAGGCGUCGACGGGUAGCCGGCCUGAGAGGGUGUACGGCCACAUUUGGACGGGGAUACGGCCCAGAGUCCUACGGGAGGCAGCAGUGGGGAAUAUUGCACAAUGGGCGCAAGCCUGAGGCAGCGACGCCGCGUGGGGGAUGACGGCCUUCGGGUUGUAAACUCCUGUCGCUAGGGACGAAGCGUAUUUGUGACGGUACCUGGAGAAGAAGCACCGGCUAACUACGUG
rnacentral:rRNA from 1 species